UACGAGGGGUGCAAGCGUUGCUCGGAAUCACUGGGCGUAAAGCGCACGUAGGCGGCUUUUUAAGUCAGGGGUGAAAUCCUGGAGCUCAACUCCAGAACUGCCUUUGAUACUGAGAGCUUGAGUCCGGGAGAGGUGAGUGGAACUGCGAGUGUAGAGGUGAAAUUCGUAGAUAUUCGCAAGAACACCAGUGGCGAAGGCGGCUCACUGGCCCGGUACUGACGCUGAGGUGCGAAAGCGUGGGGAGCAAACAGG
rnacentral:rRNA from 1 species